rnacentral:lncRNA from 1 species
CUGUACCCAAAAGACAAUAGUGGAAACUUCUCUACCAUGGAAUUUAGGCAUAAUGUUAUUGGUGUUUUCUCUGCUUGUGGUACUUCAUUAUUACUACUGCCUGAUAACAACUUUCUAUUUACAAUUUAAUUCCUUUGCAAGUAUCUUUGCCUUUAAGAUAUAUCAAUGCUGGUAUUUAAUUUAUUCAAAUUUAUUUUAUAGCUUAUAGGAGUAAACUUGUUGUCGUUUGGAAAGAAAGCUUGAACUUGUCAAGAAAGUAUGCAUUCAGAAGUAUUGAACCAUUUGUCUUCCUUAUAUUUGUUUCUAAUUUUGUAAAUCUGAAACCUGGAUGGCACCAUAUGUUUUCAUUGUUAAACUUAUAUACCUGCUUUCAAUUCACGUUCUCAUUAGUCAUAGGGACAUGGAAUUUCUUUAAGGUUCAUGAAGUGGUCAAUUUUGUUCCAUUUUGGAAAGAAAGCUUGAACUUGUCAAGAAAGUAUGCAUUCAGAAGUAUUGAACCAUUUGUCUUCCUUAUAUUUGUUUCUAAUUUUGUAAAUCUGAAACCUGGAUGGCACCAUAUGUUUUCAUUGUUAAACUUAUAAACCUAUACCUGCUUUCAAUUCACGUUCUCAUUAGUCAUAGGGACAUGGAAUUUCUUUAAGGUUCAUGAAGUGGUCAAUUUUGUUCCAUUAGCAUAAUAAUAAUUAAUGGGUGGUCUUGAUUCCAGAAAAACUUUGAUACUCCUCUCCAGUCUAAAGAAAGUGAAAUAUAUGGGAUCUGAAUGAGAUUCAACUUGUCUUAACUCUUGAGGUUUUCUGAUGACGUAUCCACAUUAUAUACGACCUUUUAAGGCUUCAGUGAUAAAGAUCAUUUUGGGUCCUGAAUAAUCUAUGCAACGAAUGACUUCAAACAGCUGAACUUUUUAUUAAUCAGGAAGCUUUGCUGUGAGUUUUAUUAAUGGCUUGUAUAUUCCACAUGUAGCUGAAUUUUUAAAGUCUUUACUUCAUUAAUUUGCCCCUCUGAAAUAGUGAUUAGGAUGUAAUAAAAAUAAGCUUAAAUGUCAAUCAAGUCAAGUUUAAAGCUGAGUCAGCUCACCGUAUAUCUGUGAAAAAUUUAUCACGUUGUGUACUUGUUAGAGAUUUCAAAAAUAUGUUUUUGAGCUGCUUAAGAUUUGGUGCAAUAUGUGGUUAUAUGAGAUAGUUAACUAAAAAGGGCGAAAGGCAAUUGGC